ensembl:lncRNA
GGGGAAUUGAUGGGCUUUUCAUGCGUGACUACUCUAAGCUUUCUGGGAGGAGGUUGCCACAGCUGAAGAUAGAGUUCAGGUGUGCUGCUGCUCCUGCCAACGUUCAUUCUGGUGGCCAGGUUACAAUUCCUGCUCAGGAGCUCCUGGCUGAGGGCUCACCAGCUGCACUGCGAGAUUGGACAUGAACUGGUGAAGAGGUUUUUGGCCAAUUCUACGGACACUGUCAGCCCUUAGGAUCUGUUUUCCAAGCAAAUCACAAGGAGGGAUUCCCCCACAGCGACGUCAUGGAGGUUUGGGACAGCCCUCGCAGUGGGUGAGGAUGGGACGGGGGGUGACAGCUCGAAUGUGGGGCUGCACCUGGAGGGGAGAAGGAAGCACCGUCCCCAGCACGGCUCCCGGUUCUCGUCCUGCCUGGCCCCCAGUCCGACCUCUUCCUACCACAGGAUUGAAUGUUAGCCCCGGACAGCAGCAGCAGCACCUUCAUCACAUCCAGAGGGAGGGGAGCAGCAAACUGCAACGCGAGCAGUUGGUGAGGAGAUGAGAGGAGAUUGGUGGGAGCUGCUCCUGCAAAAAAUCCUUCCCAUGGGAAUGCAAUAGCAACAACUGCCUGUGAGGCAGGGCUGCGCCAGCGCUCCCUUUCCCCUCUCAGUGUGUGCAGAGCAGGAGCACGGGUUGAGUCUGUUGUGCCCAUCACCCCCUGGAGAUUCAGCAGCGCUCAG